rnacentral:misc_RNA from 1 species
UGCUUCCAUAAAUUGAGAGACACUCUGGCUGUGAAAGGGCCAUCAUUAAUUACAUGAUUAUUAACCGUAUGAAAUAUGGAGAAUUGGUUUAAAUUCAGGAUCUGUGUCAAAUUAAACGUGUAGGUAGCUUGCAAAACUUAAAAUUAUUCGAUGUUAUCUUCUUGAGCCAGACUAAUUUUCCACUUCCAUAGUUAGGAAUUCAAUUGAGAGUGCAUGUAUCAAAGUGUUAAAAAAGGCCAGUUGUUCCAAGAAAAAAAAAAAGAUUCUAUGCCAAUCUCCAUUUAAGGCCAGAGUCAUUAAAAUCUUCCUGAUGUUAGGUCCUAACAACUACAAAUCAAAUAUCGACCAAAACUGUGAAGAAGGUUUUUGCUUUGGCCAAAAUAUAGCUAAAAUUAAUAUCUUCUUAUCCCUGAAAAAUGUGCAGCUAAAUGAGUUUGUCAUGUGUAUUCUUUGUUGAAGGGUAAAGUUGUAAAUAUUAGAACACAAUCUAGCUUUUGCAUUUCUAAUUGAAGAUUAAUGCACCUAAACUGGAAAAGGAAUGGAAUUUUUGCAUGAUAAGAAUGCUUACUUGUAAAUUCUGUGGCAUUUUAAGCCUCCUGUUUGUUUCUCUUUCCUCUCUUGAAUAGUUUUACCCAGGUUUUACGCAGGAGCAUAAGUCAUUUGCUUUGCAUAGAUUGGAUUUGAAUUUUCAAUUGAUAUGCUUCCUGAAAACUAACUAAAUUAUUUUUAUGAGUUUGAGGAGGUCCUUGAAAAUAACAGGAGUUAUUUUGUUUGCAUUUGAAUGUUUCGUGAUGGGAAUAAGCCCUCAUUCAUUGAUGAAUUAUACACUGCACCAAUAUAACUCAAGUGGAUUUGGCAAAUCAUUGAUUGACAGGGAGAGUCAAGCAUCUCCGAAAGAGACUUUAGGAACUGAGUUACUUACUAUCUCUGUUUUAAUAUCAUUAAAGUGGUGCAGACAGAAAAUUGGGGAUGUCAAUUAUGUUAGAUUAGAAGCUUGAAUUGUUUUCUGAUGGAUAGACAUUGAACUGUCCAUGUUGUUUUCUUAAAGACUGCCUCAUCAUUCAAAUAGUUUCUUUCUGUUUCUGAAUGAAAUUCUAUGUAAUAUUGUGUCCCAUUUCAUUUUGAGUUAUCCUGCUAAAUGUGUAAUUGGCCUAUUUUUAUUUUGUAAAAUAGGGGUAUUGAGAUUACCGAAGCUCUGCGAUUACAGAUGGAA